GUGGGGAAUAUUGGACAAUGGGGGGAACCCUGAUCCAGCCAUGCCGCGUGUGUGGAGAAGGCCUUUUGGUUGUAAAGCACUUUAAGCGAGGAGGAGGCUACCGAGAUUAAUACUCUUGGAUAGUGGACGUUACUCGCAGAAUAAGCACCGGCUAACUCUGUGCCAGCAGCCGCGGUAAUACAGAGGGUGCAAGCGUUAAUCGGAUUUACUGGGCGUAAAGCGCGCGUAGGUGGCCAAUUAAGUCAAAUGUGAAAUCCCCGAGCUUAACUUGGGAAUUGCAUUCGAUACUGGUUGGCUAGAGUAUGGGAGAGGAUGGUAGAAUUCCAGGUGUAGCGGUGAAAUGCGUAGAGAUCUGGAGGAAUACCGAUGGCGAAGGCAGCCAUCUGGCCUAAUACUGACACUGAGGUGCGAAAGCAUGGGGAGCAAACAGGAUUAGAAACCCCUGUAGUCC
rnacentral:rRNA from 1 species